rnacentral:misc_RNA from 1 species
GAUGAAGAACGUAGUGAAAUGCGAUAAGUAGUGUGAAUUGCAGAAUUCAGUGAAUCAUCGAAUCUUUGAACGCACAUUGCGCCCCUUGGUAUUCCAUGGGGCAUGCCUGUUCGAGCGUCAUUUGUACCUUCAAGCCUUGCUUGGUGUUGGGUGUUUGUCUCGCCUCUGCGCGCAGACUCGCCUCAAAACAAUUGGCAGCCGGCGUAUUGAUUUCGGAGCGCAGUACAUCUCGCGCUUUGCACUCAGAACGACGACGUCCAAAAGUACAUUUUUACACUCUUGACCUCGGAUCAGGUAGGGAUACCCGCUGAACUUAAGAAUAUCAAUAAGCGGAGGA